rnacentral:rRNA from 1 species
UGAGGAAUAUUGGUCAAUGGCCGCAGGGCUGAACCAGCCAAGUCGCGUGAGGGACGACUGCCCUAUGGGUUGUAAACCUCUUUUAUAAGGGAAGAAUAAGUGCCACGUGUGGCACGAUGCCAGUACCUUAUGAAUAAGCAUCGGCUAACUCCGUGCCAGCAGCCGCGGUAAUACGGAGGAUGCGAGCGUUAUCCGGAUUUAUUGGGUUUAAAGGGUGCGUAGGCGGGACGGUAAGUCAGCGGUAAAAAUGCGGAGCUCAACUCCGUCGAGCCGUUGAAACUGCCGUUCUUGAGUGAGCGAGAAGUAUGCGGAAUGCGUGGUGUAGCGGUGAAAUGCAUAGAUAUCACGCAGAACUCCGAUUGCGAAGGCAGCAUACCGGCGCUCAACUGACGCUGAAGCACGAAGGCGUGGGUAUCGAACAGGAUUAGAUACC